UCACUGUUCUGAUUAUGCUGUUUUACAGUCCUCCAUUGAAGUGCUCAGGCUUGGACAAGAGGCCCAAGCCAGAGCUGACCUAGAGAUGAAUCCUCUAUAUUUUAUAACUGAUAACCAUUGUGCUAGUAGGUAUUGUACUAAGUUAUAACAAACCACU